UUAUGACUCAAGGCACUGAAGCAA
rnacentral:piRNA from 1 species